UACGUAGGAUCCAAGCGUUGUCCGGAUUUACUGGGUGUAAAGGGUGCGCAGGCGGACUUAUAAGUCAGUGGUGAAAUCUCACAGCUUAACUGUGAAACUGCCUUUGAUACUGUAGGUCUUGAAUUAGGGAGAGAUUCGUGGAAUUCCGAGUGUAGCAGUGAAAUGUGUAGAUAUUCGGAAGAACACCAGAGGCGAAGGCAGCGAAUUGGCCCUAUAUUGACGCUCAGGCACGAAAGCAUGGGGAUCAAACAGG
rnacentral:rRNA from 1 species